GCUCCAUUGUGUACUUUGUAACCUCUUGAUUUCAGACCUGUAUGUGUGCGUACCUCAAGAACCAACAGUAAGCUCCAUUGUGUACUUUGUAACCUCUUGAUUUCAGCCGUGUGUGUGCGUACCUCAAGAACCAACAGCAAGCUCCAUUGUGUACUUUGUAACCUCUUGAUUUCAGCCGUGUGUGUGCGUACCUCAAGAACCAACAGCAAGCUCCAUUGUGUACUUUGUAACCUCUUGAUUUCAGCCGUGUGUGUGCGUACCUCAAGAACCAACAGCAAGCUCCAUUGUGUACUUUGUAACCUCUUGAUUUCAGACCUGUGUGUGUGUGCGUACCUCAAGAACCAACAGUAAGCUCCAUUGUGUACUUUGUAACCUCUUGAUUUCAGACCAGUGUGUGUGCGUACCUCAAGAACCAACAGUAAGCUCCAUUAAUAGUUCUACAUGUGCUGUGGAAUAUUCUGUCUCUUUUAUUUCAGACCAGUGUGUGUGCGUACCUCAAGAACCAACAGUAAGCUACAUUGUGUACUUUGUAACCUCUUGAUUUCAGACCAGUGUAUGUGCGUACCUCAAGAACCAACAGUAAGCUCCAUUGUACGUGUGUACUUUGUAACCUCUUGAUUUCAGACCUGUGUGUGUGCGUACCUCAAGAACCAACAGUAAGCUCCAUUGUGUACUGUGUAACCUCUUGAUUUCAGACCAGUGUGUGUGCGUACCUCAAGAACCAACAGUAAGCUCCAUUGUGUACUUUGUAACCUCUUGAUUUCAUACCAGUGUGUGUGCGUACCUCAAGAACCAAACACCCUGUGUGUGUGCGUACCUCAAUAACCAACAGUAAGCUCCAUUGUGUACUUUGUAACCUCUUGAUUUCAGACCAGUGUGUGUGCAUACCUCAAGAACCAACAACCAGUGUGUGUGCGUACCUGAAGAACCUACAGUAAGCUACAUUAAUAGUUCUACAUGUGCUGUGGAAUAUUCUGUCUCUUUGAUUUCAGACCAGUGUGUGUGCGUACCUCAAGAACCAACAGUAAGCUACAUUAAUAGUUCUGCAUGCGCUGUGGAAUAUUCUGUCUCUUUAAUUUCAGACCAGGGCUCUAUGGUUAGGGUUAGGGUGUGUGCAUACCUCAAGAACCAACAGUAAGCUCCAUUAAUAGUUCUACAUGUGCUGUGGAAUACUCUGUCUCUUUGAUUUCAGACCAGUGUGUGUGCGUACCUCAAGAACCAACAGUAAGCUACAUUAAUAGUUCUACAUGUGCUGUGGAAUAUUCUGUCUCUUUUAUUUCAGACCAGUG